GAUGAACGCUGGCGGCGUGCCUAAUACAUGCAAGUCGAGCGAAUGGAUUAAGAGCUUGCUCUUAUGAAGUUAGCGGCGGACGGGUGAGUAACACGUGGGUAACCUGCCCAUAAGACUGGGAUAACUCCGGGAAACCGGGGCUAAUACCGGAUAACAUUUUGAACCGCAUGGUUCGAAAUUGAAAGGCGGCUUCGGCUGUCACUUAUGGAUGGACCCGCGUGGCAUUGACUAGUUGGUGAGGUAACGGCUCACCAAGGCAACGAUGCGUAGCCGACCUGGGAGGGUGAUCGGCCACACUGGGACUGAGACACGGCCCAGACUCCUACGGGAGGCAGCAGUAGGGAAUCUUCCGCAAUGGACGAAAGUCUGACGGAGCAACGCCGCGUGAGUGAUGAAGGCUUUCGGGUCGUAAAACUCUGUUGUUAGGGAAGAACAAGUGCUAGUUGAAUAAGCUGGCACCUUGACGGUACCUAACCAGAAAGCCACGGCUAACUACGUGCCAGCCGCCGCGGUAA
rnacentral:rRNA from 1 species